CCCGCUGAACUUAAGCAUAUUAAUAAGCGGAGGAAAAGAAACUAACAAGGAUUCCCUCAGUAACUGCGAGUGAAGCGGGAAUAGCUCAAAUUUGAAAUCUCCAAGGGCAACCUUUGGCGAAUUGUAGUUUAGAGAAACGUUUUCUAGAGUGGAACGCCGUCAAAGUUCUUUGGAACGAGACAUCAGAGAGGGUGAAAAUCCCGUUUCUGACGGUGCGUCUUUCAUUCUUAUACGGAACGUUUUCGAAGAGUCAGGUUGUUUGGGAAUGCAGCCUAAAAUGGGUGGUAAAUUUCAUCUAAAGCUAAAUAUGGGCACGAGACCGAUAGCGAACAAGUACCGUGAGGGAAAGAUGAAAAGCACUUUGAAAAGAGAGUCAAAAGCACGUGAAGCCGUUAAAAUGGAAACGAUUAAAGUCAGCAGUGUUUGCAGGGCAAUCAGUUCUUUCGGUUGUUCGGUUGGUGGCUGUGCUGGAGAAUGUAACAGUUCCCACUGGUUGCCACUGUGGUGAUUGAAGGGAUGCACUUGUUUUGUGAGCAGGCCAGCAUCGAUUCGACCGAUGUGGUAAAGUGAGCGGAAAGGUAGCUCGGCAGUAGCAAUAUUGUUGAGUAUUAUAGUCUGUUUACCGAGACAUCAGUUGGAUCGAGGGAGAUAUCAAAAAGUGCAUGCUCUAUAGGGGCUAAACGGGGAUGGUCAUGGUGGUGCCCACGAUAGGUUACUGUUUCACGACAUGUGGCUCUUUGUGGAUCAGUGCUGCUAAAGAUUGUGCCUGCUUUAUACCAUGCGCUCGAGAUGCUGGCGAAAUGGCCUUAAACGACCCGUCUUGAAACACGG
rnacentral:rRNA from 1 species